AUAAUGGGUCAGCGACUUAUAUUCUGUAGCAAGGUUAACCGAAUAGGGGAGCCGAAGGGAAACCGAGUCUUAACUGGGCGUUAAGUUGCAGGGUAUAGACCCGAAACCCGGUGAUCUAGCCAUGGGCAGGUUGAAGGUUGGGUAACACUAACUGGAGGACCGAACCGACUAAUGUUGAAAAAUUAGCGGAUGACUUGUGGCUGGGGGUGAAAGGCCAAUCAAACCGGGAGAUAGCUGGUUCUCCCCGAAAGCUAUUUAGGUAGCGCCUCGUGAAUUCAUCUCCGGGGGUAGAGCACUGUUUCGGCAAGGGGGUCAUCCCGACUUACCAACCCGAUGCAAACUGCGAAUACCGGAGAAUGUUAUCACGGGAGACACACGGCGGGUGCUAACGUCCGUCGUGAAGAGGGAAACAACCCAGACCGCCAGCUAAGGUCCCAAAGUCAUGGUUAAGUGGGAAACGAUGUGGGAAGGCCCAGACAGCCAGGAUGUUGGCUUAGAAGCAGCCAUCAUUUAAAGAAAGCGUAAUAGCUCACUGGUCGAGUCGGCCUGCGCGGAAGAUGUAACGGGGCUAAACCAUGCACCGAAGCUGCGGCAGCGACGCUGAUGCGUUGUUGGGUAGGGGAGCGUUCUGUAAGCCUGCGAAGGUGUGCUGUGAGGCAUGCUGGAGGUAUCAGAAGUGCGAAUGCUGACAUAAGUAACGAUAAAGCGGGUGAAAAGCCCGCUCGCCGGAAGACCAAGGGUUCCUGUCCAACGUUAAUCGGGGCAGGGUGAGUCGACCCCUAAGGCGAGGCCGAAAGGCGUAGUCGAUGGGAAACAGGUUAAUAUUCCUGUACUUGGUGUUACUGCGAAGGGGGGACGGAGAAGGCUAUGUUGGCCGGGCGACGGUUGUCCCGGUUUAAGCGUGUAGGCUGGUUUUCCAGGCAAAUCCGGAAAAUCAAGGCUGAGGCGUGAUGACGAGGCACUACGGUGCUGAAGCAACAAAUGCCCUGCUUCCAGGAAAAGCCUCUAAGCAUCAGGUAACAUCAAAUCGUACCCCAAACCGACACAGGUGGUCAGGUAGAGAAUACCAAGGCGCUUGAGAGAACUCGGGUGAAGGAACUAGGCAAAAUGGUGCCGUAACU
rnacentral:rRNA from 1 species